rnacentral:rRNA from 1 species
UAUUGCCUACGGGGGGCAGCAGUAGGGAAUCUUCGGCAAUGGACGAAAGUCUGAUCGAGCAACGCCGCGUGAGUGAAGAAGGUUUUCGGAUCGUAAAACUCUGUUGGUAGAGAAGAACGUUGGUGAGAGUGGAAAGCUCAUCAAGUGACGGUAACUACCCAGAAAGGGACGGCUAACUACGUGCCAGCAGCCGCGGUAAUACGUAGGUCCCACGCGUUGUCCGGAUUUAUUGGGCGUAAAGCGAGCGCAGGUGGUUUAUUAAGUCUGGUGUAAAAGGCAGAGGCUCAGCCAUUGUAUGCAUUGGA